GACGAACCUGACGAACGUUAUUCGGAAUCACUGGGCUUAAAGGGUGCGUAGGCUGUGCAGAAAGUUGGGUGUGAAAUCCCUCGGCUUAACCGAGGAACGGCGCCCAAAACUACUGUGCUCGAGUGAGAUAGAGGUGAGCGGAACUUAGGGUGGAGCGGUGAAAUGCGUUGAUAUCCUAAGGAACACCGGUGGCGAAAGCGGCUCACUGGGUCUCAACUGACGCUGAGGCACGAAAGCUAGGGUAGCGAACGGGAUUAGAUACCCCGGUAGUCCUAGCCGUAAACGAUGAGCACUGGGUUGAAGGGUCCUCCAUAGCCCUUCAGCCGUAGCGAAAGUGUUUAGUGCUCCGCCUGGGGAGUAUGGUCGCAAGGCUGAA
rnacentral:rRNA from 1 species